GAUGAAGAACGUAGCGAAAUGCGAUAAGUAAUGUGAAUUGCAGAAUUCAGUGAAUCAUCGAAUCUUUGAACGCACAUUGCGCCCGCCAGUAUUCUGGCGGGCAUGCCUGUUCGAGCGUCAUUUCAACCAUCAAGCCCUGCUUGCGUUGGGGUCCUGCGGCUGCCCGCAGGCCCUGAAAACCAGUGGCGGGCUCGCUAGUCACACCGAGCGCAGUAAUACAUCUCGCUUUGGGCGUGCGGCGGGUUCUUGCCGUUAAACACCCCCUUUUUACCAAGGUUGACCUCGGAUCAGGUAGGAAUACCCGCUGAACUUAAGCAUAUAAAUAAGCGGAGGA
rnacentral:misc_RNA from 1 species